GUAAACUAAAAAAAAAAAAAAAAAAAAACAACAAAAUUUGGAUCAUUUGAAACAUUUUAGUUGAUUUUGCCAUCUCUACGUAGAUCAGAACGGAGCUCAGGGUCGGCGACUGCGGGCGUACACAGAGGUAUACAUUUGCUUUCGGUUUGCGGUACAUCGAACACAGUGCGGCUGAUAUCACCACAUGUUACACGCCUCGACAAUCGUCUGGGCAGUACACUACGUUUCCCGGGGAGUGACAUGGAUGCCACAAGAUAUGAAAAGACAUAGUUGCACAUUUUUGGUCGAUGAAUGAAGAAGCGUAUGAAGUCAUUGCAUUAGUUACUCUACAUUUAUUUUGAUACUAAAAAUGAUUAUAUUUUGAUACUAAAAAUGAUUAUAUUUUGAUACUAGAAUACACAAA